rnacentral:piRNA from 1 species
GAGUUGUUAGACAUCACUGGGGUAUUCGCCA